UUCAGAAAUCGCUCGCUACGCACACUGUGGCGUCACCCGCUGGGCGGAGGGAAGGCGAGGAGCCCCGGUUGUCAUAGCAGCACUUGGAGGUGGGGCUCGGUCACCAAAGCAGCGAGGAGGAGUUUCAUCAAGAAUAAAAGUAAUCAACAUCUAAACAUGAAUACAAGCCACAUAGGCACAAAAGUGGCAUGUAAACUGUCUGUCUGUCUAUCUAUCUAUCUAUAAAUCUACGCUUUGAAGAAGAGGAAGAAUUGCAGGGCAAUGGAGCUCUUCUUGGAAUACUGUUAGUCAAUACAAGCUUGGAAAACUCUUAUUCCAAUAUCAUUAACUUUUACUAUUAAUUUUAGUGACAUCACUACUAAAUUCCUGUAAAACUGAACAAGUGCAAUUAAAAGGCAAUAUUAACAUAAUUUGUAUCUAUAUUACAAAGUCUUAUUUUUGUUACAUCACCAUUUUUGUAUAGCUGAGGCAUAUCUACCUUUCUAUGCAGCUUCCUGUGAGUGUAAGUAGAAUCAGGCAGUCAGAGUAAGACCAGUAAAAGAUUAUAAUCUUCUCCAGUGUAUAUAUAUAAUAUUUUUGUAUUCUAAUGUAUAAUAUGUUACAGAACCCAGUAGCAAGUGUUUUGAUGUGUAUUUUCCCUUGUAACCCCACAAUAUUCAAGUUGUACUUAAAGUUGCAGGUUUUGGAAUUA